rnacentral:misc_RNA from 1 species
GUAUUUUGAAUUAUUUAUUCAUAAUAUUUUUUAGACAAAGAGUUCAAAAAUUAGGUUGAUGUUUGGUUGAUCUCCAUAAAGAAGAUCAACUGGAAUUGCACACAAGGUGGAUAUGGAUUUAAAAAGUGCCAUAAAGCACUUAUUAUGAAUGCUCCUUCCGCAGGUA